rnacentral:tRNA from 1 species
GCGGAUAUGGCGGAAUUGGCAGACGCGCUAGACUCAGGAUCUAGUGACUUAUUAAACGGUCGUGGAGGUUCGACUCCUCUUAUCCGCA